CACCAGACUCCUACGGGAGGCAGCAGUGAGGAAUAUUGGUCAAUGGGCGGGAGCCUGAACCAGCCAAGUCGCGUGAGGGAAGACGGUCCUAUGGAUUGUAAACCUCUUUAGGCGGGGAGCAAUGCCGGGCACGCGUGCCCGGAGGGAGAGUACCCGCAGAAUAAGCAUCGGCUAACUCCGUGCCAGCAGCCGCGGUAAUACGGAGGAUGCGAGCGUUAUCCGGAUUCAUUGGGUUUAAAGGGUGCGCAGGCGGGCCUUUAAGCCGGCGGUGAAAUCGCGGGGCUCAACCCCGUCGAGCCGUCGGAACUGGGGGCCUUGAGUGCGGCGGAGGCAUGCGGAAUGCGCGGUGUAGCGGUGAAAUGCAUAGAUAUCACGCAGAACUCCGAUUGCGAAGGCAGCGCACCGGCGCCCUACUGACGCUCAGGCACGAAAGCGUGGGUAUCGAGCAGGAUUAGAUACCCGGGUAC
rnacentral:rRNA from 1 species